rnacentral:lncRNA from 1 species
UUAUUAGCCCGCGCUCCCUACGAGGGGUUCGGAGUUAAGUUCGGAAACCCGACUAAAAUCUCCGAAUAGCAGCAGGCAUAGACCUAGUCCGGUCUUACUUGAAGGGCUAAGGCCCGACCUCGAUGCCUUGGGAUUUCCCUAAAGGCUAAGCGUGAUGACUUCUACGAUUCUUAGAUCCGAGCUAUGGGACUUAGAGGAAUUUUCUAAAAAACCUAAGACUCGGACCUCCUCUUGGUCGGAAUGACUGGAACCCGAGAAGGCUAAGACAUAGCCCGGGAAAAGGGGACAACUUCGUUAAGCAACCCGAAAACUAAGAUGUGAAGUUAGAGGUCGUCGAGGCAGUUAGCUAAGGCUCUAGCCUCGUUCGCAACAAAAAAGAAAGGCAAACACAUAAUGAUGAAAGUGUUUUUCAUUAACAGAAGGCCGAAGGCCGAUUACAAAAUUGGAGGUCGACCAUUUAAGAGCCGACCUCGGAUACAAUGAAAAAGAAAGGAAAAAUACGCUAAGUCCUAAGCGGCGG